GAGAAAAAAACAAAGGAGGGGAAACCCUUCUUUCUCUAAAACACUUCACCCCAACUUGUGCACCUUUGCGUAAACCAGUAGGAUUUGCUACCUUAACAAAGUGGCUUCAUCCGAGCGUUUGCGAUUCAACUAUAUAUACCCCAUUAGAAAGUCUUUGAAUGUAAAUCAUUAUUAUGCGUUAUUCGCAAAAUAAAUA
rnacentral:misc_RNA from 1 species